GACGAACGCUGGCGGCGUGCCUAUUACAUGCAAGUAGAACGCUGAAGAGAGGAGCUUACUCUUCUUGGAUGAGUUGCGAACGGGUGAGUAACGCGUAGGUAACCUGCCUUGUAGCGGGGGAUAACUAUUGGAAACGAUAGCUAAUACCGCAUAACAAUGGAUGACACAUGUCAUUUAUUUGAAAGGGGCAAUUGCUCCACUACAAGAUGGACCUGCGUUGUAUUAGCUAGUAGGUGAGGUAAUGGCUCACCUAGGCGACGAUACAUAGCCGACCUGAGAGGGUGAUCGGCCACACUGGGACUGAGACACGGCCCAGACUCCUACGGGAGGCAGCAGUAGGGAAUCUUCGGCAAUGGGGGCAACCCUGACCGAGCAACGCCGCGUGAGUGAAGAAGGUUUUCGGAUCGUAAAGCUCGGUUGUAAGUCAAGAACGGGUGUGAGAGUGGAAAGUUCACACUGUGACGGUAGCUUACCAGAAAGGGACGGCUAACUACGUG
rnacentral:rRNA from 1 species